UACAGAGGUGGCGAGCGUUGUUCGGAAUUACUGGGCGUAAAGGGCGCGUAGGCGGCCUUCUAAGUCGGACGUGAAAUCCCCAGGCUUAACUUGGGAACUGCGUCCGAUACUGGAGGGCUUGAGUGCGGGAGAGGGAUGUGGAAUUCCAGGUGUAGCGGUGAAAUGCGUAGAUAUCUGGAGGAACACCGGUGGCGAAGGCGGCAUCCUGGACCGACACUGACGCUGAUGCGCGAAAGCCAGGGGAGCAAACAGG
rnacentral:rRNA from 1 species